CCUAAGAUCUGACCGUGCAGAACCUUGGGUUGCAAGUAACUUGUUCUGCGAGUGUUCUGCUAGACAAAUAUUUCUAAUGAAUUUUAAUUUGAUAAAUGAGCGAUGUCUUACAAUAUGAGUAGUACGUGGUGCUGAAUGUCACAUGAUCAGAACUGCGCCAAUGGUUCCUCUCUCUCUCUCUCUCUCUCUCUCUCUGUGGGAUUGUGGGUGAUCAUCUCCCAUGCUUGGAUGCUCCAUCUCAGGCUGUGGUGUUUGGCAGAAAUCAGUGAUUUUUCAGAACAUUGGAAGGUGCCCACAACUGGCACUGGUGUAUUUUUUGUCACUUCCAAGCACCUGUGGACAGUCCCUUGCUUUUCCAGACAAGAGUGAGCCUAGGAAUGCUUUGCUUCAUUCUAGGUCAGGCUGCCUGCGGAUCUAGACCCUUUCCUCUGCUGCCUUAUUGCCAGUCACAUGAAAUACAGUAUAUGACAAGAAUUUAUCAAUACUACUGUAGUCAACAUCCGGGCGAGCGUAUACAAUGGCCUCCAUGCAGAAAAAGAUUCUGUCGAGCCAACAGACAGCAAUUUUUCCAGUGGACCACAAUUCACAGAAAAACCUGCUUUGCAGACCAAGCCUGGAGCUCGAUCAAUGGGACAAGGAGGAGAAAAGUUACCUCUAUUUAAUUAGCUGUGGGUCUGUGACAAAUGGGGACAGCCACUGGAGGAUGUGGCACGGCUGCUUAAUUUCACACUGUUUUAUGUUCAAGUAUCUCACCUCCAAAACUUUGUCCAGAUCAUUUUACCAACAACACUUGCUGGAAAGACUUUUUGGAGAAAAAGGCACAUAACGUAUUCUGUUAGGCGGCAAAGCAGCCACUCAGAGACAUAGCACUUUGAUUACACUAUUUGAAAGAAAGAGGGGAUUGGAUUUUAACUACUGUUCUGAAUCCCUCACCUAAGGGGUAGAAUUAUAAAACAGCUCUGCAUCACCCUUGUUAUUACUGUAUAUUUGGACAACGGCAAAAUUAAAAAUUGGGUUGUUCAUCAAAAAUGGCUCAUUAUUUUCAUUAGGGCAUGAGGUACGUGGUUUGUUAACACAGAAUGGCAUCUAGUGAGCGUGUUCAUCCGAUCUGGCCUGAGG
rnacentral:lncRNA from 1 species